UUCUCCAGGCGACUCUCGUAAAACUCUCUGCUUCCUCUUUCGUUAAUCUCUAUCUUGGCCAGACCAUCAGCGCACCCAUUACUUUCUCUAAAUAUAUGCUUUAUCUCCUUUACCUUUAUUUCUUUUAUCAGACUUUUGCACUCAUUUAUCAUCAAACUGAUUUGGGGGUCCUCGUGUUCUUCUGCUUUCCCUCGAAUCUAUUUCGAUAAUCAGGUUCUUCAGAUUCAGAGUUAUUGCUUUGGCCACCUGCUCCAGCGUAUCCUGUUGACCUGUUACAAGCGCCGUCCGUGUUUAGGGUAUAGCAUCCUACUGGGGGUUUCCUCCAACAUAUCCACCUGGGUUCUCUGAUAUUUUGAUCGUCGAAAUCCCAUCUCAAUUGGCUCUUCUCAGCAUCUGAAUCAGUUUCUCAUCUUCUAAUCUUUUUUGAGUUUAUAAAAUUUCCAGAAAAAAAAAUAGGUUGAUCCACCAUUGUGUCAAGCCAAGAUCUUGGACGCGGAUCUUCCUCAUGAUUAUCAGUGGCUCAGUUCGACCCCGCUUGUUACUGUUGGAUUCUCCCAGAGUUUUCCUCUGCCAUCGUCACCCCGGUGACGGCGGAGAUUCCUCCAUUUGGUAGCCAAGAUUGGAAGCACGAAGAAAAUUCAAGAAAAACCAUAUUCAAAUACUGAAAUUCAUAUCCAUAGGACCAUAUCUAAUAUAAUCCUUAAAUUUAAAUAACAUAAAUUAACAAACCUAGUUAACCAAAAGUCAAAAGUUAAAGUUUUAAUGAUGGCGAAUAGUAAAAAAAUGUCUCUAA